GAUGAACGCUGGCGGCGUGCCUAAUACAUGCAAGUCGAGCGAACAGAUGAGGAGCUUGCUCCUCUGACGUUAUCGGCGGACGGGUGAUUAACACGUGGAUAACCUACCUAUAAGACUGGGAUACCUUCGGGAAACCGGAGCUAAUACCGGAUAAUAUAUUGCACCUCAUGGUUCACUAGUGAAAUUCGGUUUUGCUUUCACUUAUAGAUUGAUCCGCGCCGCAUUAGCUAGUUGGUAAGGUAACGGCUUACCAAGGCAACGAUGGGUAGCCGACCUGAGAGGGUGAUCGGCCACACUGGAACUGAGACACGGUACAGACUCCUACGGGAGGCAGCAGUAGGGAAUCUUCCGCAAUGGGCGAAAGCCUGACGGAGCAAAGCCGCGUGAGUGAUGAAGGUCUUCGGAUCGUAAAACUAUGUUAUUAGGGAAGAACAAAUGUGUAAGUAACUAUGCACGUCUUGACGGUACCUAAUCAGAAAGCCACGGCUAACUACGUG
rnacentral:rRNA from 1 species